rnacentral:rRNA from 1 species
UAGGGAAUAUUGGGCAAUGGAUGCAAGUCUGACCCAGCCAUGCCGCGUGCCGGAUGAAGGCCCUCAGGGUUGUAAACGGCUUUUAUUCGGGAAGAAGAGCAGGGAUGCGUCCCUGUGUGACGGUACCGAAUGAAUAAGCACCGGCUAACUCCGUGCCAGCAGCCGCGGUAAUACGGAGGGUGCGAGCGUUGUCCGGAUUUAUUGGGUUUAAAGGGUGCGUAGGUGGCUGUUUAAGUCAGUGGUGAAAUACGGUUGCUCAACAAUCGAGGUGCCAUUGAUACUGAAUAGCUUGAAAUAAUUGGAGGCUGCCGGAAUGGAUGGUGUAGCGGUGAAAUGCAUAGAUAUCAUCCAGAACACCGAUUGCGAAGGCAGGUGGCUACGAUUUAUUUGACACUGAGGCACGAAAGCAUGGGGAGCAAACAGG